rnacentral:rRNA from 1 species
ACCAGACUCCUACGGGAGGCAGCAGUGGGGGAUAUUGCACAAUGGGGGGAACCCUGAUGCAGCGACGCCGCGUGGGUGAAGGAGCGUUUCGGCGCGUAAAGCCCUAUCGGCAGGGAAGAAGAUGACGGUACCUGACCAAGAAGCCCCGGCUAACUACGUGCCAGCAGCCGCGGUAAUACGUAGGGGGCAAGCGUUAUCCGGAUUUACUGGGUGUAAAGGGAGCGUAGGCGGCCUGCCAAGUCUGAUGUGAAAUGCCGGGGCUCAACCCCGGGGCUGCAUUGGAAACUGGCAGGCUGGAGUGUCGGAGAGGCAGGCGGAAUUCCUAGGGUAGCGGUGAAAUGCGUAGAUAUUAGGAGGAACACCAGUGGGGAAGGCGGCCUGCUGGACGAUGACUGACGCUGAGGCUCGAAAGCGUGGGGAGCAAACAGGAUUAGAUACCCGCGUAA